rnacentral:snRNA from 1 species
GGCCUCACUUUGGAGCUCAUACACUAAAAUUAGAAUGAUACAGAGGAUAUUAGCAUGGCCCAUGUGUAAGAAGACAUGAAAAUUCCUGAAGCAGUACAUAAUCAU